GCCAAAAAUCGCAAGAUUUCGGUAUUCAAAUUAUGGGUUCUCUCAGACUUCACAAUUGUUAGAUCUGGGUUCUCUUCAGACUUCACAAUCCGCCAGAAAACUCAAGCAAAACUUGGUUGUCGUUCUGAUUUGAAGAAAUUUCAAACCCAUGAAAGCUCGGGUUUCCUGCUUUUGGUAUGCUGCGGAUGUUGGUUUAUUGCUCUUUGCAUACACUUUGCCUUUGAGCUACUAAGUACGUCAAGGACAAUUUACCUGUACGCUUAUGAUGAAAGAUAGAAAGGACUCCUUCAACAUGGAACAUAGAGAUGUGAUUAGAGUUCCUGCUGGGCUUCUAUUUACUUAAUUAACAAUAACAAUGAUGAACCUCUUCACAUUGCAAAGCUCAUCCGUUCUGUUAACAGUUCUGGACGAUUUGAGGAAUUCUGCCCUGCUGGUUUUGGAAAUCCCAAGUCAUACUUCAACAUUUCAGCGAUGACAUUAUUGAAUCUGCCUUCAAUACCCCAAGAAAAGAGCCAAAGCAGGACUUUAGACAACAAAGGGGCAAACAAAGGGGUCAAGGCAUAGUCAUGAGCUCCCCAAAAGAGCAACUUGAGGCACUAUUUGGCUAAUCACCUAGGAUUGGUACCUGUAACCACUGCACAUGUACAGUUUCUUUUUAUAUUACCUUGAAUUGAUGACAAAUAGUGCUUUUUUUCUCUGCCACGAUUCUUUUUGGUUCCAUGACUUCCAACAUCUACAAUGCCAUCUCUAUCAUAAUUAAUUCAUUUACGCUUGCCUUCUAUAAAAUGGAAUCCACGCUAUGAAAAUUGCCUUCA